rnacentral:rRNA from 1 species
UCGAGAAUUUUUCACAAUGGGCGCAAGCCUGAUGGAGCGACGCCGCGUGGGGGAUGAAGGGUUUCGAUCCGUAAACCCCUGUCAUUUGCGAACAAACCUUAUGGGUGAACAGCCCAUGAAUUGAUUGUAGCGAAAGAGGAAGGGACGGCUAACUCUGUGCCAGCAGCCGCGGUAAUACAGAGGUCCCAAGCGUUGUUCGGAUUCACUGGGCGUAAAGGGUGCGUAGGUGGCCAGGUAAGUUCGGUGUGAAAGCUCGGAGCUUAACUCCGAAAUGGCAUUGAAUACUAUCUGGCUAGAGGGUCGGAGGGGAGACUGGAAUUCUCGGUGUAGCAGUGAAAUGCGUAGAUAUCGAGAGGAACACCAGUGGCGAAGGCGAGUCUCUGGACGACUCCUGACACUGAGGCACGAAAGCCAGGGGAGCAAACAG